rnacentral:tRNA from 1 species
GAUGUUAUAGCUCAGUGGUAGAGUGCCUGCUUAGCAUGCACAAGGUCCUGGGUUCAAUCCCCAGUACCUCCA